UACAGAGGUCUCAAGCGUUGUUCGGAUUCAUUGGGCGUAAAGGGUGCGUAGGCGGCGCGGUAAGUCGGGGUGUGAAAUUUCGGAGCUUAACUCCGAAACUGCAUUCGAUACUGCGGUGCUUGAGGACUGGAGAGGAGACUGGAAUUUACGGUGUAGCAGUGAAAUGCGUAGGAGAUCGUAAGGAAGACCAGUGGCGAAGGCGGGUCUCGUGGACAGUUCCUGACACUGAGGCAGCGGAAGGCCAGGGGGAGCAAAACCGGG
rnacentral:rRNA from 1 species